rnacentral:rRNA from 1 species
UACGGAGGAUCCGAGCGUUGUCCGGAUUUAUUGGGCGUAAAGCGAGCGCAGGUGGUUUAUUAAGUCUGGUGUAAAAGGCAGUGGCUCAACCAUUGUAUGCAUUGGAAACUGGUAGACUUGAGUGCAGGAGAGGAGAGUGGAAUUCCAUGUGUAGCGGUGAAAUGCGUAGAUAUAUGGAGGGACACCGGUGGCGAAAGCGGCUCUCUGGCCUGUAACUGACACUGAGGCUCGAAAGCGUGGGGAGCAAACAGG